rnacentral:lncRNA from 1 species
GAUGGAUCAAAAUAUCACAUUUCUAAACGCAGCAGCUGAGUAAAGAGCGGAGAAAUUCAUUUAAGAACAGGCGGUAAAAGGUGCAAAUGCACAGUUUCUUGCACAGCUUUCAUCAUUCGUGUUUGAAGAUAACUAUACCGCACCAGAAUCUCAUCAUGCUUAAACUCAGUCUUGUGAUGCUACUCGUUUUGACUACUACUUUACGCUCUGCAGAUGCCCAACAUGCACCUAGGUUGGCCAGAAAAUCUAUUUUCGGGGAAACUCACAGACAGGCUCGUGGAGACUCUUCUUGUGACCCAUUUUGCCCUUCGGUCAUAGGAAAAGCAAAGUUUUUUCAGACAGGCGAUAGGUGUUGGGGAUACUGUGUAAAUCGUGGAUAAAAAUAGCAACCCAUGACUUGGAAAACCUAGCGGCAAAUAAUUAUUUUCAGAUAUUUUAUUCACAUGUGAGUUUUAUACUCUGUUUUUGGAAAUUUAAAAAUAAAUUAUGAAGUAAAUCUCCUUGAAUUGUUUGUAUUUAUUUUCAUGUAUUUUUUGUUUUUGCUCAGGCAUGUCUUGUGCUGAAUAUGUAAAUAAUCUCGGAGAAAAAUCUGAAUUUCCUUACAUU